ACUUGGGUUGGCAGCCAGGGGCCCUUGUCAUGGGAACCCGCUGCCCGGGAAAUGGGCCUCCAUGGUUUGGCCCAGAAAUGGGUCAGAACGAGAGGCUUUCAGAGGAAAAAGAAGACGGUGAGUCAAAAGGAAAGUGGGGCCUCCUCCUGCUAGCUCAGCCCUGGGCCUCAGGGUUCCUGGGACACCAGUGGGCACCAUUCAACCCCAGCUUCACAACCUGCGAGCAUCUCAGAACCAGGAGCGUGCCGCCACUCCUGGACCUGCUCCAGGGCCAGCCUCCCUGUGGGGACAAUUGAAGAAGCCGCAGUCUGAGGGCCAUGCCCGGACAGAGGGUUCCCAGCCUGUCCCAGGGUCCCUGCUGCCCACCCCCUAGAGCCCCAGGGAAGAGGAUCCCCCUUUCAGGGGCCCCUGCAAAGAGACAGGGCCCGCGGGACUCGGGCAGGGAAGGAAGGGCAGGGGUCUGGCAUCCUCCCUCAGCCCACGUGCCUGGCACAAGGCCCUGAAUAGCUGGAUCCCCCUGCUCCUCACCUGGCUUUCAUGACGUCCAUUGACUCCAGGUGAGCUCAGCCAGCCAGCCCCUGCUUCUGUCCGAACUCCCACAACCCAUCUUCCUUUCACAGGCCCUGGGAGGCAGCGGGCUGUCCUGGGUGGGAGCUGCUGUGCCCAGCCCUGCCCCAGGUCCCCUGCCCGUGAGCACCUUCCUGGGUGAUUUCACCCCUGCCCUCUGGCCGGACACCACCCAGAGCCCCGAGUCCUGAGCCCACUGGAGACUUCCACAGGCCUGGCCUCUGCAGCCCCCAACCCCUGCCUGGUUCUCACCAGAGGGAGGCCAUUGCUGGGGGGCCUCAUGGCACAUCUGUGCCUCCGCUUCUUAGAAAGCCCCCCAGCCUGGUGUCCUCCCGAGCACAGUGACAGAGGGUAGCACCCCACCAGCUCAUCAUUGACCCUGGGGGUGAGACCAUGCUUGGUACAGACUGUGCGGGGUGGCCACCCCACCCCAGGAGCCUAGGAAAUGAAAACCUCCCCAGCUGCAGACCCCAGGAGGAGAUGCCCGCCCACUGCUGUUCGGACGAGCCCUCCUGCCAGCCUGGGUGGCCGGGCUGGUCCAGGAUUCCAAAUCCCCAGCCUACAACCCGCCCCUAAGGGCAUCCCGACAGAGGAGCUGGUAUCCGAGUGGAAUAGUGUCUGGGGUGAGGCAGAUCCAGGUGUGGGGCACAGGCACCCGGAGGAGGCUCCCGCAGGGCCGGGAGCUCUCCCUGGGUGGGAUGUGGACUGGGCAGGAAGGGAGGCAGGGAUGGAGGGGCUGGCUGGCCUCUAGGUGCCCCUGAGGAAGCUGAAGGCUGCCGCCUGCUGUCACUGCCCUCAUGCUGCCCCUCAGCUGGGGUUCCCUGGGCCACCUGCUGGCCUCUGUACACCCACCUUCCCCCAGGGGCUCCCUGAAUCCCCGCCUCACCCUCUUGGUGAGAAUAAAGGGUGCGCUGGCUCCCUCUGCUGCCUUCCCUCCCACUCCUGCAGGAGCCGGUUGCUUGGGAGCACAGCCACCAGGGGGCCUUCUGGGCAAGUGCCUGGACUCUCUGCUCAGGCCAACACUUGGGGCCGACAGGUGGACAGCUAGGCUCUGACCCUCUCUCCCUAAGGCGGCACUCUGGGGCUGGGUGCCCCCCACCCCUGAAGCCCCAGGUGCCAUCGUCCAGAAGGAGGUUAAAUGAAGAUGGACAUGCGGCCCCUAUCACCCUGCCCUCAUCCCACGCAGGUUCCCAGCUCCCUGCGCUCACCAUCCUCCAUUUGGCGCACCAGUGCACCAAAGGGAAACUGAGGCGCCCCGCUGAGGGCCAGCCUAAGGCCACAGCCAGGCAGUUGGGGUCUGGGGGGACUCUCCAGCCUGGGUGGGCUUCAGCUACAGACACGUACUGCUUUAGGACAAGCCAUGAGCUCUAAGCAGACCCAACCCCUUUCCCCAAGUCUGCCCCCAUCAUCUCUCCUCAGGGUCCCAUUUGUCCCAAAUGGCUUUGUCCUCCCCAUUCAGGGCCACCCCUGUCCAUCCAGGAGCCUGAGGUCCAGCCAUCUCUGGACUCCCUACCCCCAGGAACCACUAAGGGGCUUCUGAACCCAACCCAUCCCUCCUCCACAGCCUUGGUGGAAAGACAGGUCUAACCUUCUUAGCCUGUCCGCAUCAGGCCCUGCCACUCCCUGGACCCCGGAAAUCCCUCUCCCCAGCCCAGUCUUGGCAAUCUGACCACCAAGUUGGGUCACCACUCUGGGCCUUCAGCUGAAGAUCCCCCUCCCCCUGCCUCCUUGCUCCUUGGUGGGGGGUUGGGGCAGAUCAAGACCCAGCUCCUGGCACUCAGGGCCCAUGCCACCUCUUUGCCCUCACCUGGCACCCCUAUUCUACUCGCUUGUAUGCAGCCUGGGCCCCCCUCCUGGCACAUCCCUUCCCCGACAUACUCUGGCGGGGCCCAGGAGCCUGUGUGGGCCCCAUAACACACCCACAACCAAGGCCUGCAGCCUGUUCCUUCCUGUCUUCUGGCCCAGGUGGACGCAGGGCAGGGAUGAAGGCUGUGGGUGCCCAUGGCCAGGUGUCUGCAGAUGCCUGCUCCCAGCCCUUUCUAUCAGGCCCAGGAUGGGGUCUUUGAGAGAGGAACAGGAGCAUCAACUCCAAACUGGCCUGGCCCUGCGCUACACUCCUCCCCUCCCCUGGGGUGGAAGUGUUGGUGGGGGGAGACCUGGAUGAGAAGUUUGGGGGUGGUCCUGCCUCUGUGCAAAAAUAAAGCCUCUCUCCCAGUG